GACGAACGCUGGCGGCGUGCCUAAUACAUGCAAGUAGAACGCUGAAGAGAGGAGCUUACUCUUCUUGGAUGAGUCGCGAACGGGUGAGUAACGCGUAGGUAACCUGCCUUGUAGCGGGGGAUAACUAUUGGAAACGAUAGCUAAUACCGCAUAACAAUGGAUGACACAUGUCAUUUAUUUGAAAGGGGCAAUUGCUCCACUACAAGAUGGACCUGCGUUGUAUUAGCUAGUAGGUGAGGUAAUGGCUCACCUAGGCGACGAUACAUAGCCGACCUGAGAGGGUGAUCGGCCACACUGGGACUGAGACACGGCCCAGACUCCUACGGGAGGCAGCAGUAGGGAAUCUUCGGCAAUGGGGGCAACCCUGACCGAGCAACGCCGCGUGAGUGAAGAAGGUUUUCGGAUCGUAAAGCUCUGUUGUAAGUCAAGAACGGGUGUGAGAGUGGAAAGUUCACACUGUGACGGUAGCUUACCAGAAAGGGACGGCUAACUACGUG
rnacentral:rRNA from 1 species